GCCGUCGGGGGAGAGCAGGGUGGACGUCAGCGACCGCCCCGCACCGAGCGCGCUGAGCUGGAGCGGCCGGGCUCGCUGUCUCGCCUUCAGUGCAGCCCGGCGAGAGCAAGUGUGUCGCUCCCACUUCACAGACCCGGGAGCCGAGGCCCCGGGACACCAAAGAACUUGCCCGUCGUCCCGUGACGGCCGAGCGGAGAAACUGGCAUUCGAACCUAAAUAGUCCGGGUCCUCUGCGAGCGCAGAGUCUCUGAACAGGCUGAAGAAUCGAAGCCCAGAGAGAAAGGGAUUUGUCCAGAGUGAGACAGCUAAGCCACGCGAGGUAAUAGCCCACGGGUCUCGCUUUCGCCCCGGUGUCUGGCACGUAGGCGCCAGGUGGAUGCUUCUUGAAUCAAUGGGUACACGAACGAAUGACUGUUCCCUUAGAAGUCGGACCAGCUCGGACACCGUCCUGGAAGGCACUGCAGCCUCAUCCCUAAAGCACCAUUACCAUUAUAAUCACUAAAAAGAGCAACUGAAUAGUUGAAAAUUGACUGACAAUAACAGCAGCUUAUGUAUCAUUUGAUGUGAUUAGAUGAGAUUCUACUCAGAUCUCCAGCAGCAAGUUGCCAAUAUUGCUAUUGCUAGCCUGACCUCUCAGCCAGGGAAGUCCAGAUCACAUACAUGAUUAACUUCUAGAUCUCAGCUCUGAAAAAAAAAGAAAGGAAAGAGGAGAGAGGGGAGGAGAGAGAAGCUACAUAAGAUAAGGACACCUUGCCCUCAGGCCCAGAAAAUGAAAUGUGUUGGUUGUGGUCUUUGCUGAGAAUGCCCUUGGAAUAAAGUUUUUAGAAGAAGUGUGAGCUCAAGGGUUCCAGUUCUCUCACCUGGAUCACCAGACAACCUCUCAAACCACCUCUGCACCCAGCCUCACUCAUGUCCUGCAGAGCUGUCAAUUCAGACUGAUUCAAAAUGCAGCUGCCUGAAUUCAGGUCACAGCAUCUCACAUCAGGAGCAUGGCUAAAUGUUCCUGCGGCUUCCGCCUCUGCCCAGUCUCAAUGCCCCAUAUACAACUGCUGCUAGGAUGAGCUUUCAAAAGACAAAGCUAUGUUACGGGAGGUAACUACAGACCAGUAUCUCUGAUGAAUGAUGAUGUGAAAUUCUCAACAAAAUACAGUGAAAGGAAUUCAACAGUACAUUGAAAAGAUCAUACAACAUUACCAAGUGGAAUUUAUUCACACUAAAGGCCCCAUCAAAAAAGCUAUGAGAAACAAUAAAUGAGUACAGCAAAGUGGCAGUUUAUAAAAUUAAUGUA